GAGGGAGUUUCCCUUUGAUUCUUGCUCCACCCAAACUGCCUGGGAGUGGCAUCAGCAUUUCUACUGAGGCAGUGCUGAGACAGUCCGUUGACAUCAUGGCUCGUUAUCAUCUCCUGAUUCCUGUUAAUUUCUCUGCACUCCGCAGAGUCUUCUUCAAUUCAUGAACAAGAAAAUAGUAUUUGAAGACAAUGGAAAAAAGAAUAUCUGCAAUGCUCUGAAGAAGAAGAGGGCCUCCUCCUUCAGGGAUGAGUGCAUUGAAAAGCAUAAAGAGGCAGCCCAUUAUUUGCAUGUUCAAUGUAAUGUUCUGAUAAAAAGGGAGGUCUCAGGGCUGUGAGGAAGUCCAUGAACACAUAGAAACUUCAAUUGUCACUGAGACUGAAGAAUGCUGACAGCAAUUUGGCUAAACAUUUCACCACCCAGGAGACUCCUGGGAAGGUUUGUGUCCUUGCUGCUGAAGUAGUUUACCUACUUAUUGCUUGCUUGCUAAAAUCUUUAAGAUGAGUUAAGUCAAAAUUGAAUAAAAAAUUCACUGUCAAAAAACAGAUGAGAACACUGUGGAAAAUGUUUGGACACCCUAUUCAGUAGAGCAGUUGGAUGAUCUCAAAGACAAUAAGUAAUUGUCCAUAGUCACUGCUCCUUUAAAUAAAGGCAAUGUUAAAUAUUA